GGGGGGACGGCCGACACAGACACCGCUGACCAGGUCAUGGCCUCCUUCAAGGUCCUGGCUGGGACAAGAACUACAUCCUGGCCGAUGAGCUUCGCCGUGAGUUGCCUCCUGACCAGGCAGAGUACUGUAUCGCCCGCAUGGCUCCCUACGCCGGCCCCGACGCGAUACCCGGCGCCCUCGACUACAUGUCCUUCUCCACCGCACUCUACGGAGAGAGUGACCUCUGAGUGACCUUUGACCCUUAAUAUGUCAGGUCACUCACCAGCCUACCUGCUCUUACCACCGGCCCGCAAGACCCUCCUACUGCCCCGACACCGCAGCUCUGCUCUAGCAUAGGUCCCAGAUCUGUUUGUGUUGUCUUGCCAACUCCUUCUCACUCAUCGUUGUCACGCCAGUUUAGCAAAAGACAGGUCUGGCAUCAGGCUAGCCCUGCUCUACAACGCUCAAAACUGCACAGACAGAUCUGGCAUCAGGCUAGCCCUGCUCUACAACDCUCAAAACAGCACAGACAVAUCUGGCAUCAGGCUAGCCCUGCUCUACAACACUCAAAACAGCACAGACAAAUCUGGCAUCAGGCUAGCCCUGCUCUACAACACUCAAAACAGCACAGACAAAUCUGGCAUCAGGCUAGCCCUGCUCUACAAUGCUAACAUGUUUUUUCUAUGUUCCUGGCCUCAUCUUAUAUGUCAUAAUCAUCUUGUCUGCCCCCCCCCCCCUUCCUUCUCCACCCCGUCCUCAUUCCUCCCUCCGCCAACCCCUUUACUGGUGUAGGGUGAAGUUGCCCCUAGAUGCUGAUCUGGGGUCAGUUUAGCACUUUCCCUACUAAUAGUUAAAGUUAGGUUUUGAGGGAGUGAAAGCUGAUCCUAGAUCUGUACCCAAGGGAAACUUCACCCCGGACGGAGCCAAGCCCCUUCCCUCCCUCACACUUUGUCUCAGUUGGACUUGCUUCCCAUGCAGAAACCCUCUCCAGGUUUACAAAAAGGGAGAGAAAUGUGUUUUUAUUUUUCUUGUUGUUAUUGUUUUAUCUUCAUAAAAUGAAUAAAGCUAACAUAUUUUAU